rnacentral:rRNA from 1 species
AUUGAACGCUGGCGGCAGGCCUAACACAUGCAAGUCGAGCGAGCGGCGGACGGGUGCGUAAUGUCUGGGAAUCUGCCUGAUGGCGGGGGAUAACUACUUGACACGGUAGCUAAUACCGCAUACCAUCAGAUGAACCCAGAUGGGAUUAGCUUGUUGGUGAGGUAACGGCUCCCCCACGCGACGAUCCCCAGCUGGUCUGAGAGGAUGAUAAGCCAAACUGGGACGGAGACACCGCCCAGACCCCUACGGGAGGCACUCGUGGGGAAGAUUGCACAAUGGGCGCAAGCCUGAUGCAGCCAUGCCCCGUGUAUGAAGAAGGCCUUCGGGUUGUAAAGUACUUUCAGUCGUGAGGCGUUACCGACAGAAGAAGCACCGGCUAACUCCGUGCCAGCAGCCGCGGUAAUUC